rnacentral:rRNA from 1 species
UGCCGUGCGCUCGGAAGGUUCCGCACCAGCAUAAUUACCAUAAGGGAAUUAUGGCCAUCUCCCCUGUCUUCAGAUGGCGGCACUGCAGGCCAGCAGUUGCUGCUCCUCGAACCAAAGGGAGAGAGAAAGGGCAGGCCUAUGGCCGAGCACAACGUCAACUUGAUAUUCAUCAGUACUAGUAUGACUGGACAAGAAAGUAUUUAAUUUUGAACACUAAAUGAAAUCCGGAUAGUCUAGUGAAAUUGCAAUAUGGAGCUUUAGUCACCUUCCCACGACAAAGAGUGAAGCAUACAAAGUAGUACUGUGCAUUUUUGAAACACUUGACUAAAACCAUAGCUGCUGUAGGCCCGUUGUCGUCCAUGAUUGUCUUUGUGAUUACUUGAAUGGGUAGCCAAGGUGCUGAUACUAAAAAAA